rnacentral:rRNA from 1 species
AUGGCAGCCAUACUUGAAUCGUUGCUUGGAUCAUGUGCCAGUAAGUUGCAGAAUAUCAUUACAGAUGAGGCCAUACUAAUCCUCGGGGUGGAAGAAGAGCUCAGAGAAGUCCUGCGACGAGUAGAACUGAUAAAAUGUUGCAUAUAUGAUGCUGAGAAAAGGAGGACAAAAGAGCUAGCAGUAAACAAUUGGCUCGGCCAACUGAGAGAUGUUAUAUAUGAUGUUGAUGAAAUCCUAGAUGUGGCUAGAUGUAAAGGAAGCAAGCUACUUCCUGAUGAUCCUUCUUCAUCAUCAAGCAAAUCAGCUGCAUGUGCGGGCUUCUCAGUUUCCUCUUGCUUUUGUAACAUCUGGUCACGUCAUGAUGUUGCUGUUCGGAUUAGAGGCCUCAACAAAAAGAUAGAGAACAUUUCAAAGGACAAGAUAUUCUUAACAUUCAACACUAGUACACAACCUGCUGGAAAUGGUCCAACAUCCAAAUAUGGUAAGAAGUUCCAACCUCGUUGA